rnacentral:rRNA from 1 species
UAUUGGAGGGCAAGUCUGGUGCCAGCAGCCGCGGUAAUUCCAGCUCCAAUAGCGUAUAUUAAAGUUGUUGCGGUUAAAAAGCUCGUAGUUGGAUCUCAGUUCCAGACUGUCGGUUCGCCGAUCACGGCGACUACUGUCAGGCCUGAACAUGCAGCCGGUUUUCCUUGGUUCUCUUUACCGGGCGUCUUGGGUGACCGGCACGUUUACUUUGAAAAAAUUAGAGUGCUCAAAGCAGGCGUGACGCCUGAAUAAUGGUGCAUGGAAUAAUGGAAUAGGACCUCGGUUCUAUUUUGUUGGUUUUCGGAACUCGAGGUAAUGAUUAAGAGGGACAGACGGAGGCAUUCGUAUUGCGACGCUAGAGGUGAAAUUCUUGGACCGUCGCAAGACGAACUACUGCGAAAGCAUUUGCCGAGAAUGUUUUCAUUAAUCAAGAACGAAAGUUAGAGGUUCGAAGGCGAUCAGAUACCGCCCUAGUUCUAACCAUAAACGAUGCCAACCAGCGAUCCGCCUGAGUUCCUUAAAUGACUCGGCGGGCAGCUUCCGGGAAACCAAAGUGUUUGGGUUCCGGGGGAAGUAUGGUUGCAAAGCUGAAACUUAAAGGAAUUGACGGAAGGGCACCACCAGGAGUGGAGCCUGCGGCUUAAUUUGACUCAACACGGGAAAACUUACCCGGCCCGGACACCGGAAGGAUUGACAGAUUAAGAGCUCUUUCUUGAUUCGGUGGGUGGUGGUGCAUGGCCGUUCUUAGUUGGUGGAGCGAUUUGUCUGGUUAAUUCCGAUAACGAACGAGACUCUAGCCUACUAAAUAGCGGACCGAUCACUCUCGUCGGUCGAUCUUCUUAGAGGGACAAGCGGCGUUUAGCCGCACGAGACAGAGCAAUAACAGGUCUGUGAUGCCCUUAGAUGUCCGGGGCCGCACGCGCGCUACACUGAAGGAAUCAGCGUGUGCUCUCCCUGUCCGGCAGGACUGGGUAACCCGUUAAACCUCCUUCGUGAUAGGGAUAGGGGCUUGUAAUUGUUCCCCUUGAACGAGGAAUUCCCAGUAAGCGCGAGUCAUAAGCUCGUGUUGAUUACGUCCCUGCCCUUUGUACACACCGCCCGUCGCUACUACCGAUUGAAUGAUUUAGUGAGGUCUUCGGACUGGCGCUCGGAGCGGCCCCUGGGGUCGCGCCGGCGUGCCGGAAAGAUGACCAAACUUGAUCAUUUAGAGGAAGUA